rnacentral:lncRNA from 1 species
CGCUGUCCAGGGAGGCUGAGGCGAGAGGUAGCUGUCCGGGUGGGGAGCCCGCACUACCUUCUUCCUCUUCCUCCUCCUCCUCCGGGUGAGGGGAGCGAAGGUUGGGGGUCCCCGAGCCCAUGGACCAGGAGGAGGCGGAGGCCGCCGAGAGCCGGGGCCCCGCUAUGUGGCCCUGAGCCCCGAGGGUCCUGUAGUGGCUGCAGUGAGCACAAAGGUGAAAUGAAGGAAGUCAAAAUUGAUAACCUCUGGCGGGAUUCCAGGAACUCUUUGGCUUCUGGUCUCAUAGUGGUUGUGUCCAACUGACAGUAGUUGCAGUUAGUGAAGAGCAUUAGCUGACUCUCCUUGUGCUCUCUCCUGUGAUUAACAGACUGAAAACUAGGAACAAAUUGGAAAGACGACCUCCCAGAACAAUCUGUUCAUUUUUCCAGCUAUUUGGAAAACAGUGUCUGCAAAUAUAAGCAAAGCUAUU